UACGGAGGGUGCAAGCGUUGUCCGGAAUUAUUGGGUUUAAAGGGUGCGCAGGUGGCUUUAUAAGUCAGAGGUUAAAGACCGGGGCUCAACUCCGCGUUUGCCUUUGAUACUGUAAGGCUUGAAAUACGUAUGGGUAGGCGGAAUUCCUCAUGUAGCGGUGAAAUGCACAGAUAUGAGGAGGAAGACCGAAGGCGAAGGCAGCUUACUGGGCGUUAUUUGACACUGAGGCACGAAAGCGUGGGGAGCGAACAGG
rnacentral:rRNA from 1 species